AUGCAAUUUUUGGCUUAGACACAGCAUGGUAUCAGAUAAGAGAAUAGCCAGUCCCUAUCAGUCCUCCAUCUAAGCCUAACUAAGGGGUGUUGAUAUACUUUUGAUUUGUUCAGGCACCAUCUAUUUGAGAACCACAGAUAGGAAGUUAUUUUUUGAAAACAAGCAGCAUCAGCAACUGACUUUAAGCUAGAAUUAAGACUUAUUAUUUUAGUGUAAAAUGUCUUGAAAUACUUUCAGCAUGAAGUAUUGUGUGAUGAAAAAAAAUGUGUAUUUACUACAAUGUGUAAAUCAACAAUAAAGGAGAUUAAAAGUGGGUGGUUAAAGACAUAUAAAGUGAUAUGGUCUAGUUCAACAACUGCCUGUAUUUUUGGAAUACUGAAGAACAGUCUGUUGUAACAGGUUAAACCCCAUGGAAAGAAUGUGCAUCAUCGCAUCGCCUGCCAAAAAAGGGAGCAAAAAAGAGACUACCUGAUGUAUGGACUUGAAUACCAGGUUUUACCCUGCACAAGCUGGCCGACAUGAGGAGAACAGGAGUGGGAAAACCGCGCCCUCUCCUUGACCAAGAAAAGCUGGAUUUGUUUAGAGGACCUGAUCAAAUGAGAUCAUGCACGAGACGCAUCGCGCAAAGGCCAUGACAGUAUAAUUGUUGCAAAGAAGUUUGACCGGCUAGUGGCAGACUUGGAGAGAAAGAUGAGAGCUGCACUCCGCUGCCUCAAAGAAAUGCUGAAAGGCCUUGAUUGAUAUGCAUCUUUCUUAUGUAUAUAGCUGUUCGUGUGUAUAUACUGUACAUGUUAUUAUAGUAUGCU